rnacentral:rRNA from 1 species
CAGCCGCCGCGGUAAAACGUAGGUGGCAAGCGUUGUCCGGAAUUAUUGGGCGUAAAGCGCGCCCAGGCGGAUAGGUCAGUCUGUCUUAAAAGUUCGGGGCUUAACCCCGUGAUGGGAUGGAAACUGCCAAUCUAGAGUAUCGGAGAGGAAAGUGGAAUUCCUAGUGUAGCGGUGAAAUGCGUAGAUAUUAGGAAGAACACCAGUGGCGAAGGCGACUUUCUGGACGAAAACUGACGCUGAGGCGCGAAAGCCAGGGGAGCGAACGGGAUUAGAUACCCGAGUAGUCCCUGUCUCUUAUACA